UACGGGGGAUGCAAGCGUUAUCCGGAAUCAUUGGGCGUAAAGCGCCUGUAGGUUGUUUAAUAAGUCUGUUGUUAAAGCCUAGGGCUUAACCCUAGAAAAGCAAUGGAAACUACUAGACUAGAGUAUGGCAGGGGUAGAGGGAAUUUCUAGUGUAGCGGUGAAAUGCGUAGAUAUUAGAAAGAACACCGGUGGCGAAAGCGCUCUACUGGACCUUUACUGACACUCAGAGGCGAAAGCUAGGGUAGCAAAAGGGAUUAGAUACCCCUGUAGUCCUAGCCGUAAACGAUGGAUACUACAUGUUGUAUAUUAUGUACAGUAUGGUAGCUAACGCGUUAAGUAUCCCGCCUGGGGAGUACGCUCGCAAGAGUG
rnacentral:rRNA from 1 species